UAUCGUGCUAAACAAUUUUUUUUUGCCGCCACUCGCCUUGAUGGCGGGAACCAAUGAUCGAGGGAAACACCAUUGGAACGCCGUAGUAGAGAGAGGAAGAGAGAUUUGGUAGAAUGGCGUAGUGAACAGAAACCAGUAAUUUGUUUCUCAAGAGCCAGCCGCUUCGAGGCCUUGUGCAAUGGUUGAUCAUCGAUGAAAUGAAGCUCUUCGUGGCCUCGUUUUAGAGCUGAUGAUGAAUGUAUGAGUGCUUGUACUGCGGGAGUCUGUGUAUUGGAAAGGUUGAGCCGAAGAACAGAGAGGAAUCGGCAACGUUUUCUUAGGAGCUGAUUCCUAAUGGAUGACGUCGAUGAAGUUGGUCGAAUUCUUGUUUUAGGUUUUUGCAUUUUUCUUACUUGAGUCUGGAAACGUAUAUUUCGGGAUACGAAUUUGUGAGCCUUUUUGGUUUGUGAAAAUUUACCAUUCGUUCUGAGUACUACUACUAGCAUAUGGAUACUCGGACCGUGGUUGCUGUUCCUACUGAAAGCACUUUUAUCUUUUGAUUUCCUUUCCAAUAGUUUGUCAUAUCACAUCAUCGCUUCAGUGGUUUCAUUUUCCUAAGUUUGAUGAUUCGCUUGCAGACUUGAAAACGUCGAAAGAAGAGAAGACAGAGGAACUGUUCGAAAAAAAACAAUUGGACGGGCUGUUGAUAUCAUGGAUCCACGGGAGUUCUCACAUCCAAAACGCUGAAUAAGUCGUUAGUUAGCAGUUUUAAAAUUCUUUCAUUUUGCCUACGUAACUUCCAUUCUGCUCUAACUUUGUAGAAGAUGGAUCUUAGGCCGAAUCUCGCAUCUAUGGAAGAAUAUUAGUAUUAGAUCAGUCUAUGUUUAAGCUUACAAUUUAGGGGAAGUUUAAAUUUGUUAUUAAAUCACCAUGGAUUCAAAAGUAUACUAUAUGCUUAGCCGCCAGGACAGAUAUUACUACUCCCAAGUCUCUCUGUUAUUGUCAAUUUAUGUAAGAUCAAAGGGUGAACAUGGCUUGAGCCUUGAAGCACUAUAGUUUUUCUCCAUCUUCUUUAUCAAGUGUACGAA